UACGGGGGGGGCAAGCGUUGUUCGGAAUUACUGGGCGUAAAGGGCUCGUAGGCGGCCAACUAAGUCAUACGUGAAAUCCCUCAGCUUAACUGGGGAACUGCGUGUGAUACUGGAUGGCUUGGAUUUGGGAGAGGGAUGCGGAAUUCCAGGUGUAGCGGUGAAAUGCGUAGAUAUCUGGAGGAACACCGGUGGCGAAGGCGGCAUCCUGGACCGGCAUUGACGCUGAGGCGCGAAAGCCAGGGGAGCAAACGGG
rnacentral:rRNA from 1 species